CCUACGGGUGGCAGCAGUGGGGAAUAUUGGGCAAUGGGGGCAACCCUGACCCAGCCAUGCCGCGUGAGUGAAGAAGGUCUUCGGAUUGUAAAGCUCUUUCGGCCGUGACGAUGAAGACGGUAGCGCCUAACUAAGCACCGGCAACCGUCGUCCCAGCAGCCGCGGUAAUACGAAGGGUGCGAGCGUUGUUCGGAAUUACUGGGCGUAAAGGGAGUGUAGGCGGAUAUGUAAGAUAGCGGUGAAAUGCCGGGGCUCAACCCCGGCACUGCCAUUAUGACUAUGUAUCUAGAGUAAUGGAGAGGAUAGCGGAAUGCCCAGUGUAGAGGUGAAAUUCGUAGAUAUUGGGUAGAACACCAGUGGCGAAGGCGGCUAACUGGACAGUAACUGACGCUGAGGCUCGAAAGCAUGGGGAUCAAACAGGAUUAGAUACCCUUGUAGUC
rnacentral:rRNA from 1 species